rnacentral:misc_RNA from 1 species
AAAACAACGCGAAAAGGCGGCCGGGCGCGGCAUGUGUGGAGCUGUGAAAUGCACGGCACCAUUACACCGCGCCCUGUCGCUGCGUUCGGGGGGCCGCCCCUCGGGGCCGCCCCUGUCUGCACCCUCUGCCAUUGUCGCACCUCGCGUUUCCUCGGCGGGCCCGCCCGCCAACGGGGACCCCAAACCAAACCCACUUGCAGUGCCUGCAGUAAACGUCUCACAAAAGAAAUAAAUCA